UUAGUAGAGAUGGGGUUUCACCACAUUGGCCAGGCUAGUCUCGAACUCCUGACCUCAGGUGAUCUGCCCACCUCAGCCUCCCAAAGUGCUGGGAUUUCAGGUGUGAGCCACUAUGCCUGGCCUAUUUAUUUAUUUUAGAGACAGGGUCUUGUUCUGUCACCCAGGCUGGAGUGCAGUGGCACCAUCAUGGCUCAGUGCAGUCUCAAAUUACUGGGCUUAAGCAAUCCUCCUAUCUCAGCCUCCCAAGUAGUUGGGUCUACAGGCGUGCAGCACCAUGCUUGGCUAGUUUUUACAUUUUUCAUAGAGACAGGAUCGCACUUCUCAAGCAAUUCUCCCACCUUGGUCUCCCAAAGCGCUGAGAUUACAGGCAUGAGCCAACCAUUCCCGGCCCCCUGCUCUCUUUCUCAGCUCCUCACCCGCCAACUUCACUAAUGAAGUUUCCAGAAGAUGCUUGCACACCUGUGGUAUCCACACACCGCCCUGCAUCUCUGCAUCCCAGAGCUGGCCAUGAUACCUCCCAUGCCACUGUACUUCUUACAGCAUGGUGCCAAUACUCGUCCCUUUGAGAAGUGGGGUCUUUGUUCCCUUCCCUUGAGUUUUGGCAGGCCUAUGACUAUGUCAGAGGUAAAGUUAUGUGACUUCCGAGACUGGAUCAUGAACGGCAACACCGCUUCUGCCCAGUUCCUUAGAAUGAAGGAAGGCUGGCACCAUGGUGUGAGGAAGCCCAGGCUACACAGAGGCUGCAUGUGGAUGCUCCAGCCAACUGCCCCAGCCAAGGCUCAACCGCCAGACAUGGGCAUGAAGACAUCUUCAGAGCAACUCUGGCCCCAGCCACCGUGAUGGCAGGAGAGGCUCCCAGGGAGAACCAGUCAACCCCCAGGACUGUGGGACGUAGUAACAAAAUCUUGUUGGGGGCGAUGUGUUACCUAAAGAACAAUGAACAAAAAAUGCUGGUGUGUCACUGGUGCCUCCAGUGUUCCUACCUCACUGUUCUGAGACCUCACUUUUCAUA
rnacentral:lncRNA from 1 species